rnacentral:tRNA from 4 species
GGUGGGGUGGCCGAGUGGCUAGGCAGCGGCCUGCAAAGCCGUGCACGCGGGUUCGAAUCCCGUCCCCACCUCCA